CACUUUUAGUUGCCAUCAUUAAGUUGGCACUCUGAAAGAACUGCCAGUGAUAAGCUGGAGGAAGGUGGGGAUGACGUCAAGUCCUCAUGGCCCUUACGUGUUGGGCUACACACGUGCUACAAUGGCAUCUACAACAGGAAGCAAAACGGCAACGUUAAGCAAAUCCCGAAAAGAUGCCUCAGUUCGGAUUGCACUCUGCAACUCGAGUGCAUGAAGCUGGAAUUACUAGUAAUCGUGGAUCAGCGUGCCACGGUGAAUGCGUUC
rnacentral:rRNA from 1 species